CAGACAUUGUAAACCUGAAUAAUAACACCUCCCUGAAACACAGUGUGAACACAGCAUCCCUUGAAGUGGCUUGUCCCUCUGUGUCACCAUGAGGAAAAUGACAAAGCACCGUGUCACAGAGGAAUGCCAGGCAUGUCGACUCCAGUCACCCAGGUCAGUUUCCUGAUGGCGGGGCCAGUUUUAUGGUUGUGCUGACUGCUGCUUUUGAUGGUGUAAUUGUGACAAUGAUCUCAUUCUCUCCCUCUCUCAAGGAGCUCAGCCUUCCUUCCUUCCCAGAGCCUGGCAGUCAGGAGGGAGAGGAGGUGGGGGUGCACAUUUCAUUAGCCUUCAAUUCAUAUUGAAUUUAUUAAUCC